GGGAUUGCCUUAGUAACGGCGAGUGAAGCGGCAACAGCUCAAAUUUGAAAUCUGGCUCUUUCAGAGUCCGAGUUGUAAUUUGCAGAGGGCGCUUUGGCUUUGGCAGCGGUCCAAGUUCCUUGGAACAGGACGUCACAGAGGGUGAGAAUCCCGUACGUGGUCGCUAGCUAUUGCCGUGUAAAGCCCCUUCGACGAGUCGAGUUGUUUGGGAAUGCAGCUCUAAAUGGGAGGUAAAUUUCUUCUAAAGCUAAAUAUUGGCCAGAGACCGAUAGCGCACAAGUAGAGUGAUCGAAAGAUGAAAAGCACUUUGGAAAGAGAGUCAAACAGCACGUGAAAUUGUUGAAAGGGAAGCGCUUGCAGCCAGACUUGCUUGCAGUUGCUCAUCCGGGCUUUUGCCCGGUGCACUCUUCUGCAGGCAGGCCAGCAUCAGUUUGGGCGGUGGGAUAAAGGUCUCUGUCACGUUCCUUCCUUCGGGUUGGCCAUAUAGGGGAGAUGUCAUACCACCAGCCUGGACUGAGGUCCGCGCAUCUGCUAGGAUGCUGGCGUAAUGGCUGUAAGCGGCCCGUCUUGAAACACGGACCAAGGAGUCUAACAUCUAUGCGAGUGUUUGGGUGUCAAGCCCGAGCGCGUAAUGAAAGUGAACGGAGGUGGGAACCCGCAAGGGCGCACCAUCGACCGAUCCUGAAGUUUACGGAAGGAUUUGAGUAAGAGCAUGGCUGUUGGGACCCGAAAGAUGGUGAACUAUGCUUGAAUAGGGUGAAGCCAGAGGAAACUCUGGUGGAGGCUCGCAGCGGUUCUGACGUGCAAAUCGAUCGUCAAAUUUGGGCAUAGGGGCGAAAGACUAAUC
rnacentral:rRNA from 1 species